AUAGAGUAUUAAAAGGGAAGCGUUUUUAAAAAGAUAAGUUCAUUUUGAGAUUCUACCUUUGAAAUCUAUUCUCCAAAGUUGAAAAAAUGUUUUAUUUUCGCAGUAUAUUGGUAAUUACCUUGAUCGUUUUGGUAUUUGCGACUUUCCUGACAAAUGCAUCUGACGAUAAAGAUACUUAUUCUCUGAUGGGUGAAACCACUGAACAAGCCGAUGCUAGUACAUCUUAUAAUAUUUUGGAUUCUGAUGAUCCGCUGAUACGGCUUGCUUGCAAAAUAUUUAAAGACCCGACGUGAGUGUUUCGAAGAACGUAUAUGCAUGAUUUUCUCAUCACAAUU